AUUGAACGCUGGCGGCAUGCCUUACACAUGCAAGUCGAACGGCAGCACGGGUGCUUGCACCUGGUGGCGAGUGGCGAACGGGUGAGUAAUAUAUCGGAACGUACCUUAUUGUGGGGGAUAACGCAGCGAAAGCUGUGCUAAUACCGCAUAAUCCCUAAGGGGGAAAGCGGGGGACCGUAAGGCCUCGCGCAAUUAGAGCGGCCGAUACCUGAUUAGCUAGUUGGUGAGGUAAAGGCUCACCAAGGCAACGAUCAGUAGCUGGUCUGAGAGGACGAGCAGCCGAACGGGGACUGAGACACGGCACAGACUCCUACGGGAGGCAGCAGUGGGGAAUUUUGGACAAUGGGGGCAACCCUGAUCCAGCAAUGCCGCGUGAGUGAAGAGGGCCUUCGGGUUGUAAAGCUCUUUUGUCAGGGAGGAAACAGCAGCUCUAACACAGUUUGCGAAUGACGGUACCUGAAGAAUAAGCACCGGCUAACUACGUGCCAGCCGCCGCGGUAA
rnacentral:rRNA from 1 species